rnacentral:lncRNA from 1 species
CAAAUAUUUGUGCUGUUUGGGGUACUGGAAGACUGGAGUUGGGAAACACUGGUGUGUGUGAACCAUCGCUUACCCUUUGGGGUCGACCCUACAGAGAUGUGAGCGCCUACUGCUUGUCCUUUCAUGCAAAAAGUACAGCAUUGUCCUCUACAGACCAGGAAAGCUCUCUUAACAUCGUCCUGAUACGGGGACUGUUGCUGCGGAAGCUGCCCUCACCGCACCCAGUCAGAAUUUGUGUCCGAUGUCUGGCUUCUCCACACACUGUUGAAGAGCGUGAAGUAUUCCAAG